GUGCAGCCGCCGCGGUAAUACCGGCAGCACGAGUGAUGGCCGAUUUUAUUGGGCCUAAAGCGUCCGUAGCUUGCUGUGUAAGUCCAUUGGGAAAUCCACGCGCUCAACGCGUGGGCGUCCGGUGGAAACUGCACGGCUUGGGGCCGAGAGGCUCGACGGGUACGUCCGGGGUAGGAGUGAAAUCCUAUAAUCCUGGACGGACCACCAAUGGGGAAACCACGUCGAGAGACCGGACCCGACAGUGAGGGACGAAAGCCAGGGUCUCGAACCGGAUUAGAAACCCCGGUAGUCC
rnacentral:rRNA from 1 species